AUUGAACGCUGGCGGCAGGCCUAACACAUGCAAGUCGAGCGGAUGAAGGGAGCUUGCUCCUGGAUUCAGCGGCGGACGGGUGAGUAAUGCCUAGGAAUCUGCCUGGUAGUGGGGGAUAACGUCCGGAAACGGGCGCUAAUACCGCAUACGUCCUGAGGGAGAAAGUGGGGGAUCUUCGGACCUCACUCUAUCAGAUGAGCCUAGGUCGGAUUAGCUAGUUGGUGGGGUAAAGGCCUACCAAGGCGACGAUCCGUAACUGGUCUGAGAGGAUGAUCAGUCACACUGGAACUGAGACACGGUCCAGACUCCUACGGGAGGCAGCAGUGGGGAAUAUUGGACAAUGGGCGAAAGCCUGAUCCAGCCAUGCCGCGUGUGUGAAGAAGGUCUUCGGAUUGUAAAGCACUUUAAGUUGGGAGGAAGGGCAGUAAGUUAAUACCUUGCUGUUUUGACGUUACCAACAGAAUAAGCACCAGCUAACUUCGUG
rnacentral:rRNA from 1 species